rnacentral:rRNA from 1 species
GAAUNCGCAUGCUAUACAUGCAAGUCGAACGAGCUUCCGUUGAAUGACGUGCUUGCACUGAUUUCAACAAUGAAGCGAGUGGCGAACUGGUGAGUAACACGUGGGAAAUCUGCCCAGAAGCAGGGGAUAACACUUGGAAACAGGUGCUAAUACCGUAUAACAACAAAAUCCGCAUGGAUUUUGUUUGAAAGGUGGCUUCGGCUAUCACUUCUGGAUGAUCCCGCGGCGUAUUAGUUAGUUGGUGAGGUAAAGGCCCACCAAGACGAUGAUACGUAGCCGACCUGAGAGGGUAAUCGGCCACAUUGGGACUGAGACACGGCCCAAACUCCUACGGGAGGCAGCAGUAGGGAAUCUUCCACAAUGGACGAAAGUCUGAUGGAGCAAUGCCGCGUGAGUGAAGAAGGGUUUCGGCUCGUAAAACUCUGUUGUUAAAGAAGAACACCUUUGAGAGUAACUGUUCAAGGGUUGACGGUAUUUAACCAGAAAGCCACGGCUAACUACGUGCCAGCAGCCGCGGUAAUACGUAGGUGGCAAGCGUUGUCCGGAUUUAUUGGGCGUAAAGCGAGCGCAGGCGGUUUUUUAAGUCUGAUGUGAAAGCCUUCGGCUUAACCGGAGAAGUGCAUCGGAAACUGGGAGACUUGAGUGCAGAAGAGGACAGUGGAACUCCAUGUGUAGCGGUGGAAUGCGUAGAUAUAUGGAAGAACACCAGUGGCGAAGGCGGGCUGUCUAGUCUGUAUCUGACGCUGAGGCUCGAA